GGGGUGCACCAGGCGCGAAAACUUUACAAUGCUGGCAACAGCGAUAAGGGGACCUCGAGUGCCAGGUUACAAAUCUGGCUGUCGUGAUGCCUAAAAAGCAUUGCAUAGCAAGGGCCGGGCAAGACCGGUGCCAGCCGCCGCGGUAACACCGGCGGCUCGAGUGGUAACCGUUAUUAUUGGGUCUAAAGGGUCUGUAGCCGGCCGGAUAAGUCUCUUGGGAAAUCCAGCAGCUCAACUGUUGGGCUUUCAGGAGAUACUGUCUGGCUCGAGGCCGGGAGAGGUGAGAGGUACUUCAGGGGUAGGGGUGAAAUCUUGUAAUCCUUGAAGGACCACCAGUGGCGAAGGCGUCUCACCAGAACGGACCUGACGGCAAGGGACGAAGGCUAGGGGCACGAACCGGAUUAGAUACCCGGGUAGUCCUAGCCGUAAACGAUACUCGCUAGGUGUCGGCCACGGUGCGACCGUUGUCGGUGCCGUAGGGAAGCCGUGAAGCGAGCCACCUGGGAAGUACGGCCGCAAGGCUGAAACUUAAAGGAAUUGGCGGGGGAGCACAAGGGCAAUUCGC
rnacentral:rRNA from 1 species